AAUUUUUGUCGGUAGAUGGUGCGCUAAGCCUUGUGAUAGAGGGCGCCAAGUAAAGCGAGGGCGCUAAACAAGCGGUGAGGAAGCUGAAACGUCAUGUGGUGACCCCGGACCCGAGCGACCUGACCCGACUGAUGCUGCGGCUCAUCAGCAGCCCCGCCGGCCUUGCAGCUGUCCGAAAUUUGAUCUGACCGGCGACUUGUUGAUUGGUUCCGUUGAACGAUGAGUGAUCGACGACAGCAUUGGUGUUGUCGUCACCUCUGGAGCAGCCAGCCGUGUAAAACAGCGCGUGCAGCCGAGCUGGUAGCAUUCAGCCAUGCACCGUGACUAAUUCUACAGCACCUCUCCAAACCGGUCUAUCCAGGUGUCAAUUUGAAAACGUACAAGCUUCAUCGUAAAUUCACACCUGAAGUUUUGACAGCGAUAAGAAUCUCGGCAGCAGCGAAUUCCAGGAGCGGAGCAGCCGGACGUCUGUCAGACCCUGGCGGCCGUCAGCUGAUCGUUCCAGUGACGUCACGUCCACCUCUGUCCUGUUUCCGCGCUCCCCGCCCGUUGCCGGCGGCUUUUUGCCGAGCAGACAGCUCCCACGGCCGCGGCGACUCGGCUUUUAUCCAAU